rnacentral:SRP_RNA from 1 species
GCUGGGUGUGGUGGCGUGCGCCUGUAAUCCCAGCUACUCAGGAGGCUGAGGCAGGAGAAUCGCUUGAACCCAGGAGGCAGAGGUUGCAGUGAGCUGAGAUUGCGCCACUGCACUCCAGCCUGGGCAACAGAGCAAGACUCUGUCUCAA